rnacentral:lncRNA from 1 species
AUGAACCAUAGGCACACAGAUUUUAAGGUUUUCUUUCUAUUUAUGGAACGAAAUGGACAAGCUGAAUCUUCUGUUUGUCUGGUGGUGGCCACUGGAAGAUUUAUGCUCAUGGAGGGAUGGUUUACAUUGGAUGUCAGGGAGAAGUUCUUCACAGAAGGAGUGGUGAGGUGCUGGAACAGGCUGCCCAGAGAGGCUGUGGAUGCCCCAUCCCUGGUAUGUUCAAGACCAGGUUGGAGAGGGUCCUGGGCAACAUGAUCUAGUGCCAGAUCUGGAGGUUGAAGGUCCUGCCUGUGACAGGGAGGUUGGAACUUGAUGGUCCUUGAGGUCCCUUCCAACCCAAGCCAUUCUGUGAUUCUAAGAUAUAUCAGCAAGCUGAUGAUACCAUUGCUGUUGUAGUGAUGAAUAUAGCUAGCCACAGAUUUUUAUAGCUUGAAUGGGAACAGUUUACAGAAUCACAGAAUCACAGAAACACCAAGGUUGGAAAAGAUCUAUAAGAUCAUCCAGUCCAACCAUCUACAGAUAGCUCUCACUAAAUCAUAUCCCUCAACACAAAAUCCAAACAUUCCUUGAACACCUCCAGGGUCGGUGACUCCACCAGCUUCCUGGGCAGCCCAUUCCAGUGCCUGACCACUCUUUCAGAAAAGUUCCUAACGUCCAGCCUAAAUCUCUCCUGGCACAGCUUGAAGCCAUUCCCUCUAGUUCUAUCACUGUUACACAAGAGAAGAGGCCGACCCCCAGCUCAUUACAACCUCCCUUCAGGUAGUUACAGAGAGCAAUGAGGUCUCCCCUGAGCCUCCUCUUCUCCAGACUGAACAAUCCCAGCUCCUUCAGCCGCUCCUCAUAAAUCCUGUGCUCCAGACCCUUCACCAGCUUUGUCGCCCUUCUUUGAACCUGCUCCAGGGCCUCAAUGUCUUUCUUGCAGUGAGGGGCCCAAAACUGGGCAUUAGAGGUGCGGCCUCACGAGAGCUGAGUACAGGGGGACAAUCACUUCCCUGUUCCUGCUGGCAGCACCAUUCCUGAUACAAGCCAGGAUGCCAUUGGCCUUCUUGGCCACCCAGGCACACUGCUGGCUCAUGUUCAGCCCAGCAUCAAUCAACACCCACAGGUCCAUUUCCUCCAUGCAGUCUUCCAGCCACUCCGCCCCAAGCCUGUAGCAUUGCUUGGGGUUGCUGUGGCCAAAGUGUAGGACCCAGCAUUUGGUCUUAUUAAACCUCAUCCCAUUGGCUUCAGCCCAGCUAUCCAGCCUGUCCAGAUGCUUCUGUAGGGCCUCACUACCCCCAGGCAGAUCGACACUUCCAGCCAACUUGGUGUCAUCUGCAAACGUACUGAGGGUGCACUCAAUGCCCUCAUCCAGAUCAUCAAUAAAGAUCUUGAAGAGGACA